rnacentral:rRNA from 1 species
AUUGAACGCUGGCGGCAGGCCUAACACAUGCAAGUCGAGCGAGCGGCGGACGGGUGAGUACUGUAUGGGGACUGCCCGAUAGAGGGGGAUAACUACUGGAAACGGUAGCUAAUACCGCAUACUAUCGGAUAACCCAUAUGGGAUUAGCUAGUAGGUGAGGUAAUGGCUCACCUAGGCGACGAUCCCUAGCUGGUCUGGGAGGAUGAUCAGAAACACGGGGACUGGCACACGGCCCAGACUCCUACGGAGGCAGUAGGGGGGAAUAUUGCAGAAUGGGCGCAAGCCUGAUGCAGCCAUGCCGCGUGUAUGAAGAAGGCCCUAGGGUUGUAAAGUACUUUCAGUCCGGAGGCGGUACCGACAGAAGAAGCACCGGCUAACUCCGUGCCAGCCGCCGCGGUAAUAC